rnacentral:rRNA from 1 species
AUGAUGACACCGGCGCAAGUAACCCGGUGGUUGAAGAGGUUCAUGAGAGCCGGCGUCACACCCGGACCAACAAGGACACCGACCUCUCCUUCGAGUUACCUGACGCAUCAAGGAAGCGCCGGACUGAGGAGACCUCCCCCUCUUCCGGCGACUCUAUGCAGUCAAGUCUGCCGGCUUUCAAGACCGUGCCCGGGCCAGGCAAAGCUCACCAAGAGAGCUAAGAAAACCAAGUCGGCCGGAGAGCCGGAUUUGCCUGAACCGGAGGUGACGGUCCAAGAACCGCCAGCUGCCUCCGCUCCCGAAGCCACCACUCCAAUGGACACGGCACCUGUAGAAGCUUCUGCUGACCCGGAGGCCUCCGGCUCGGCUCAACCAACAAAUGACCCGGACGUGGUAAUCACCCGGGCGGAGUUCGUUGAGCCGGGGAGACCUACCGUGCUGGCCAAGUGCUCCGCUAAGGGGGAGUUGCUGCAGCCCCACCGGGUGAACCUGGACCUCUCCGACUACGCCAACCUGAGCAUCGGAGAGCUCGUCUCUGGAUACAUCAGCCAAGUGCACAAGAGCCGGGACGCAGAGGUUGCCAUGGUGAACCAGAUCCAGCAGAAGUCUGAGGCUGUUGGCAAGAAACUUGAGGCUGACCUUGCUGAUCUCAAGAACCGGCUAAAGAUGCAAGAGAUGGAGACCCGGAAGGCAAAUGCCAAGUUCGUGUCCAGCAUCGCCGCGCAAGAGAAGCUGAAGACGGAGUUCGACGCUGAGCGGAAGGCGUGGGCCGAAGAAAAGGUCGCACUGGUGAACCGGGCUGAACAGGCGGAGAAGGCUCUCUCUGAGAAGACCGCCGAGCUCUCCGGCCUAAAGCGCCAAGUGUCCCAGAUGGUGGCCGCAGUCUUCGGUCCCAGAAGUGCCAACCUGAAUCAGAGUGUGGUGACCAAGCUGAAGGCCGUAUACACCCUGGUGGAACAACUCUACACCGGGUCACAACGUGCCUUGGCUGUGGUGGCCCUCUCCAAGGAAGUGCCGACUCACCUGGCGGAAGUCCUUCGCCGGCUCGCCGUUCUUCCUCAACGGAUCCAAGAACUGCGACGAGCCUCUGCGAGAGCCGGAGCGAUUGCUGCGCUGAGCCGGGCUAAGGCGUUCUUGCCAGAUUUAGACCCGGCGGACAUCGCCCUCGGCUACCCAAGUCUGAAGGAAGACGGCACCGCCUUUGAUCAGAAGGACUUUUCAGCUUGCGUGAAGGCCGUACGCCCGGUGGCCACUCUUAUUGGCAACGAUACCGAUCUGACCAAGUACCGGCCGGGCUACGACGCAGAAAAUCAGAGGAUUCCUACUCCGCGCUAUGAAGCCCUCAACUUGAUCCCGCCGGCUCGUCAGCACACUUUCGCCCCGGAGAUUGACCCUUUCGGGUUAAUUGAUGAGGAAGCCCAGUUCGAAGCGCUUAGCGGCAUCGACUGGAAGUCAUCAACCUUCCGGGUCUUGGGAUCAACCGGAGGAGAAGGAAGAGAUGAGCCGGAGACUUCCACUCAGCAAGCGUCUUAA